AUUGAACGCUGGCGGCAGGCCUAACACAUGCAAGUCGAACGAGUGGCGGACGUGUGAGUAAUGUCUGGGACCGUCCCUGCUGGAGGGGGUUAACAACUGGAAACGGUUGCUAUUCCCGCUUAGCAUAGGGUGUGCCGAGAUGGGAUUAUCUUGUUGGGGGGGUAACGGGUCACUAAGGCGACGAUCCCUAGCUGGUCUGAGAGGAUGAACAGCCACACUGGAACUGAGACACGGUCCAGACUCCUACGGGAGGCAGCAGUGGGGAAUAUUGGACAAGGGGCGCAAGCCUGAUGCAGCCAUGCCGCGUGUGUGAAGAAGGCCUUCGGGUUGUAAAGUACUUUCAGCGGGGAGGCGUUACCCGCAGAAGAAGCACCGGCUAACUCCGUGCCAGCCGCCGCGGUAAUAC
rnacentral:rRNA from 1 species